CCCUUAGAGUUUGAUCCUGGCUCAGAACGAACGCUGGCGGCGUGGAUAAGACAUGCAAGUCGAACGAGAUUUUUUCCUGUAGCAAUACAGGGAAAAGUCUAGUGGCGAACGGGUGCGUAACACGUGGCAAUCUGCCUUAAAGUGGGGGAUAGCUCGGCGAAAGCCGAAUUAAUACCGCAUGUGAUCAGGGGAGACAUCUUCCCGAAAUCAAAAGUGGCGCAAGCUACUGCUUUUCGAGGAGCCCGCGGCCUAUCAGCUAGUUGGUGAGGUAAUGGCUCACCAAGGCUCUGACGGGUAGCUGGUCUGAGAGGACGACCAGUCACACUGGAACUGAGACACGGUCCAGACACCUACGGGUGGCAGCAGUCGAGAAUUUUUCUCAAUGGGGGAAACCCUGAAGGAGCGACGCCGCGUGGAGGAUGAAGGUCUUCGGGUUGUAAACUCCUGUCAUUUGGGAACAAGUCGCCGAACGUAACUGCUUCGGCGUUGAUAGUACCAGAAGAGGAAGGGACGGCUAACUCUGUGCCAGCAGCCGCGGUAAUACAGAGGUCCCAAGCGUUGUUCGGAUUCAUUGGGCGUAAAGGGUGUGUAGGUGGCGCGCUAAGUCGGGUGUGAAUUUCGGAGCUUAACUCCGAAACUGCAUUCGAUACUGGCGUGCUUGAGGACUGGAGAGGAGACUGGAAUUCUG
rnacentral:rRNA from 1 species